CCCCCCCCCCCCCCCCCCCCUAGAGCAGCCUGCAGCAGACCAUGGCCGUUAUCCACUGGAGCAUAUUACCUGACAUUUGGUUAUCUGGUUUUUAAACUGUUUUUGGUGCAUUUUAAAUGUAUAGAGAUGUUUAAAAAUCUACUGCUGUCACUCCUCCCAUUUUGAACUUGUAUUUGUACGUGUGUUUUAAGUGUUGCAAUACGAAAUAUUUAAAGAUCAGAAUGUUAAAAUCGAGCUUGCUUUUGUUCUGGUGAAAUGUAUAUAUAUCUUGUGAUUGUUGAUAAAAAACAAAUUAAAUAAAAUAAACAUUAAAUUGCUAUAUCAUAGGAGUUUUAAGACUUUUCGUAAAAAUUAUGUAUGUAAGUUUAUGUUUACGUUGAGCUACUUGCUAAUGUUUGGUUGAGCUAGGUGCUAAUGUUUGGUUGAGCUAGUUGCUAAUGUUUUGUUGAGCUCGUUGCUAAUGUUUGGUUGAGCUAGGUGCUAAUGUUUGGUUGAGCUAGUUGCUAAUGUUUUGUUGAGCUAGUUGCUAAUGUUUUGUUGAGCUAGGUGCUAAUGUUUGGUUGAGCUAGUUGCUAAUGUUUUGUUGAGCUAGGUCCUAAUGUUUGGUUGAGCUAGUUGCUAAUGUUUUGAUGAGCUAGGUGCUAAUGUUUUUUUGAGCUAGGUACUAAUGUUUGGUUGAGCUAGGUGCUAAUGUUUGGUUGAGCUAGUUGCUAAUGUUUUGUAGUGCUAGGUGCUAAUGUUUGGUUGAGCUCGUUGCUAAUGUUUUGUUGCGCUAGGUGCUAAUGUUUUGUUGAGCUAGGUGCUAAUGUUUGGUUGAGCUCGUUGCUAAUGUUUGGUUGAGCUCGUUGUUCAUGUUUGAGUUAUUGGGUUUGGACAUUAUGUACUCCUUAUUUAACUCAUAGGAUUGCAAAAUUCCCAGGUUUUCCAGAAAUCCUGGAUGGAAGAGUCCCAGAAUCAGGAGAAAACAAGCAGGAAAUCCGGAACCCUCCAACCAGGAUUCCUGGAAAACCUGGACAUUUUGGGAACAUUACCAGAAUUUUGCAACCCAACGCCCAACCCUGGUCGAAAGUAGUGCACUAUAUAGGGAAUAGGGCCCUGGUCUAAAGUAGUGCACUAUAUGGGGAAUGCUAGUUGGGAUGUAACCAGUGAGAUGUGUUUGUUUGCCUUUAUAACAGAUGGCCUCAUUAUGCCAUUAUGAGAAAUAAAGACCACAUUGGUAGGUAUGCAUGGGGGUCGGGGUUAUCGGGAGUAUGAAUAUAUUAUAAUAAUGAGAAUAUUUUGUUUAUGUGUGAAUCACUGAGAUGUUUGUUGAUAAUGAUGUUGAACAUCGGUCCUGUCUGUCCUUCCUGUUCUCUUCAACCAGUCCUCAUGUCUGUCCGUCCUGUUGUCUUCAACCAGUCCUCAUAUCUGUCCUUCCUGUUCUCUUCAACCAGUCCUAUUGUCUGUCCUUCCUGUUCUCUUCAACCAGUCCUAUUGUCUGUCCUUCCUGUUUUCGUCAACCAGUCCUCAUGUCUGUCCUUCCUGUUCUCUUCAACCGGUCCUAUUGUCUAUCCUUCCUGUUGUCUUCAACCAGUCCUCAUGUCUGUCCUUCCUGUUCCCUUCAACCAGUCCUCUUGUCUGUCCUUCCUGUUCUCUUCAACCAGUCCGCUUGUCUGUCCUUCCUGUUGUCUUCAACCAGUCCUCAUGUCCUUAUUUUUAAGGUGUACACAAUAAAGACGCAUUGUGUUCAAGA